CUACAAAAAAAUGAUUUGUAAAAUGAUUAUCAAUCUUUUGGUAUCUUAGAAACCCUAGCAGAUGCUCUAAAUCCUAACUUACAAGCACCUAAGUACUAUUUUCUUUAUAUCUCAUAAAUUCAAAAUUUAAAAUACCUCAAAAUUUGAACACAAAGUUUAUUCAUAUGACUAUACUCAUUUUUCAAAAUUUUGAGCUAGAAUCUCAUCAAAUUACUUAAGAUAUAAUUCAAAACACAACCACUAGUGAAUCGGGUCACUUACCACCCUUAGAUUUGCAAGUGCUGAUUUCAACCUCCAAUAUCUCUUUUAUCCUAACUUAGAAUCUAUCGUACAUUAUGCCAAAUGUGUAGCCAAGAAAGUAGUCUCUAAUCGUGGUCACCAAUCCUUUAUUACUU
rnacentral:lncRNA from 1 species